AGGGUAGCAAUACCGCUGACGACCGGCGCACGGGUGAGUAACACGUAUCCAACCUACCAUCCUUGCGGGGAUAGCCUUUCGAAAGAAAGAUUAAUACCCGAUAGUAUAGCGAUAAGGCAUCUUAUUGCUAUUAAAGAAUUUCGGUGUUUGAUGGGGAUGCGUUCCAUUAGAUUGUUGGUGAGGUAACGGCUCACCAAGUCUUCGAUGGAUAGGGGUUCUGAGAGGAAGGUCCCCCACAUUGGAACUGAGACACGGUCCAAACUCCUACGGGAGGCAGCAGUGAGGAGUAUUGGUCAAUGGACGAGAGUCUGAACCAGCCAAGUAGCGUGAAGGAUGAAGGCCCUAUGGGUCGUAAACUUCUUUUAUAGGGGAAUAAAGUGCGGAACGUGUUCCGCUUUGUAUGUACCCUACGAAUAAGGAUCGGCUAACUCCGUGCCAGCAGCCGCGGUAAUACGGAGGAUCCGAGCGUUAUCCGGAUUUAUUGGGUUUAAAGGGAGCGUAGGUGGACGUAUAAGUCAGUUGUGAAAGUUUGCGGCUCAACCGUAAGAUUGCAGUUGAUACUGUAUGUCUUGAGCGUACAAGAGGUGGGCGGAAUUCGUGGUGUAGCGGUGAAAUGCUUAGAUAUCACGAAGAACUCCGAUUG
rnacentral:rRNA from 1 species